rnacentral:rRNA from 1 species
GACCAGACUCCUACGGGAGGCAGCAGUGGGGAAUAUUGCACAAUGGGGGAAACCCUGAUGCAGCGACGCCGCGUGAGUGAAGAAGUAUUUCGGUAUGUAAAGCUCUAUCAGCAGGGAAGAAAAUGACGGUACCUGACUAAGAAGCCCCGGCUAACUACGUGCCAGCAGCCGCGGUAAUACGUAGGGGGCAAGCGUUAUCCGGAUUUACUGGGUGUAAAGGGAGCGUAGACGGCAUGGCAAGUCAGAUGUGAAAGCCCGGGGCUCAACCCCGGGACUGCAUUUGAAACUGUCAGGCUGGAGUGCAGGAGAGGUAAGUGGAAUUCCUAGUGUAGCGGUGAAAUGCGUAGAUAUUAGGAGGAACACCAGUGGCGAAGGCGGCUUACUGGACUGUAACUGACGUUGAGGCUCGAAAGCGUGGGGAGCAAACAGGAUUAGAUACCCGGGUAUC